rnacentral:rRNA from 1 species
UACGUAGGGUGCGAGCGUUAAUCGGAAUUACUGGGCGUAAAGUGUGCGCAGGCGGCCAUGCAAGUCGAGUGUGAAAGCCCCGAGCUUAACUUGGGAAUUGCGCUCGAAACUACGUGGCUGGAGUGUGGCAGAGGAAGGUGGAAUUCCACGUGUAGCGGUGAAAUGCGUAGAGAUGUGGAGGAACACCAAUGGCGAAGGCAGCCUUCUGGGCCAACACUGACGCUCAUGCACGAAAGCGUGGGUAGCGAAUGGG